rnacentral:misc_RNA from 1 species
AACGCACAUGGCGCCCUCUGGUAUUCCGGGGGGCACGCCUGUCCGAGCGUCAUUUCAACAAUCGAACCCCAGGUUCGGUAUUGGACCCGGUCCCCGGACCCGUCCGUAACCCGUACGGCGGUACCGUCCGGCCCCGAGCGUAGCAGAAAUACGUCGCUCCGGUGCCCGCGACGGGACCUGCCGCAUAACCGGAACCCCUCCACAGUUUGACCUCGGAUCAGGCGGGGAUACCCGCUGAACUUAA